AUGAGACAAAAGAUCCUCUUUCUAAAGAGAUUCGAUUCGGAACUCUUAUAAGUCCAAGGUUAAUAUGGAAAUUCUUUCAGAGGUUUUCCCUUACUUUGUGGUGUGGCCAGUGAAGUAUGGUUACAGUCUGCUCGAGUCGGUCCUACGUUUUGUUUCACCGGUUGUACAACCAAUAUAAGUGGGGUGCUCUUUGAUUUCUCCGGCACCACCGCGUUUUUCAAGGACUUUGCUGGUGCUCCUUCAGGUUCAGCAAUCACCCUCUUCCUUUUUGAUGUCUGA
rnacentral:rRNA from 1 species